rnacentral:rRNA from 1 species
UAGAGGAUCAAGCGUCUGAAGGGCAUCUGGUGGAUGCCUUGGCACUGAGAGGCGAUGAAGGACGCAGCACGUUGCGAUAAGCCAUGGGGAGCCGCGAGCAGGCUUUGAUCCGUGGAUUUCCGAAUGGGGC